UGUAAAUUACACCAUCUUUGCAGCCUUUGCUCUCACAACCUCAACCUUUUCGAUCUGUCUCUCUCUCAACAUCUUCUGGCCCGAAGGAAGACGCUCUGCUUCUCUCUUGGCUCGAGCUCAUCUCUCAGUCUCUCCCUCUCUCUCUCUCUCUCUCUCUGUCCUCUCUCUCUCUCUAUAUAUAUAUAUAUGAGGUAAAGUGAUUGCAUUUAGGAGUUAAAAAAAAAAAAAAAAAAAACAUUAUUGUGGAUAAAUUUCCUCUUUUUUUGUUUGAGAAAAAUUUACUUUGCCGCAACAACUAUAUGAAAAAAAACACCCUCAUUAUUGAAGUGCCUUUUGGAAAUGGACCUACCUUAGCUACCGACCUCUCCACCAACUUUACUAAAUAAACUCACAUUAUUAUUAUUAUUAUUAUUUUUUGUAAAUUACACGAUCUUUGCAGCCUUUGCUCUGACAACCUCAACAUUUUCUCUCUAACCAGACCAUGUUCGAUCUCUCUCUCUCAACAUCUUUUGGCCCGAAGGAAGACGCUCUCCCUCUCUCUUGGCUCGAGCUCAUCUCUCAGUCCUUCUCUCUCUCUCUCUCUCUCUAACUAUAUAUAUAUAUAUAUAUAUAUAUAUAUAUGAGGUGGCAACCAUAUCUGAAAGGUGGAAGCGGAGAAAGGUUGAUGAAGAGGAAUGUUGUAAAGAUGAAGACUUGUAUAUAGACUCGUAUAUAUAUAUUACUUAUGUUUUGCUUAUUAUUCAGGAUCCUUUAUCUUUGAUGUUUACGUAACUUCUGUGAAGUAUUUUGAUGUAUUUAUUUAUUUUUUAUUUUAAUUGAUUGUCUUCUCUUUUGUGAUAAAUUCUAUUUUUAAAGCGAUUCUGAAUAUUAUUAAUGCUCUGGAUUUCUUA